rnacentral:rRNA from 1 species
GAAUUCGCCCUUAGAGUUUGAUCCUGGCUCAGGACGAACGCUGGCGGCGUGCCUAACACAUGCAAGUCGAACGGAGAUAAAGAUUUCGGUUUUUAUCUUAGUGGCGCACGGGUGAGUAACACGUGAAUAACCUGACCCAAAGAGGGGGAUAACACCUGGAAACAGGUGCUAAUACCGCAUAAGACCACGGUGAGACAUCUCACAGGGGUCAAAGGAGCAAUCCGGUAAGGGGUGGGCUCGCGUCCGAUUAGAUAGUUGGUGAGGUAACGGCCCACCAAGUCGACGAUCGGUAGCCGACCUGAGAGGGUGAUCGGCCACAUUGGGACUGAGACACGGCCCAAACUCCUACGGGAGGCAGCAGUAGGGAAUAUUGGGCAAUGGGCGCAAGCCUGACCCAGCAACGCCGCGUGAGGGAAGAAGGUUUUCGGAUUGUAAACCUCUGUCCUAUGUGACGAAGGAAGUGACGGUAGCAUAGGAGGAAGCCCCGGCUAACUACGUGCCAGCAGCCGCGGUAAUACGUAGGGGGCGAGCGUUGUCCGGAAUUACUGGGCGUAAAGGGUGCGUAGGCGGUUUGGUAAGUUGGAUGUGAAAUACCCGGGCUUAACUUGGGGGCUGCAUCCAAUACUGUCGGACUUGAGUGCAGGAGAGGAAAGCGGAAUUCCCAGUGUAGCGGUGAAAUGCGUAGAGAUUGGGAGGAACACCAGUGGCGAAGGCGACUUACUGGACUGUAACUGACGCUGAGGCGCGAAAGUGUGGGGAGCAAACAGGAUUAGAUACCCUGGUAGUCCACACUGUAAACGAUGAAU